rnacentral:rRNA from 1 species
UGGGGAAUAUUGCACAAUGGGCGAAAGCCUGAUGCAGCAACGCCGCGUGAGUGAUGAAGGCCUUCGGGUUGUAAAGCUCUGUCUUUUGGGACGAUAAUGACGGUACCAAAGGAGGAAGCCACGGCUAACUACGUGCCAGCAGCCGCGGUAAUACGUAGGUGGCAAGCGUUGUCCGGAUUUACUGGGCGUAAAGGAUGCGUAGGCGGAUUUUUAAGUGAGAUGUGAAAUACCCGGGCUUAACUUGGGUGCUGCAUUUCAAACUGGGAAUCUAGAGUGCGGGAGAGGAGAAUGGAAUUCCUAGUGUAGCGGUGAAAUGCGUAGAGAUUAGGAAGAACACCAGUGGCGAAGGCGAUUCUCUGGACCGUAACUGACGCUGAGGCAUGAAAGCGUGGGUAGCAAACAGGAUUAGAUACCCUGGCAGUCCACGCCGUAAACGAUGAGUACUAGGUGUAGGAGGUAUCGACCCCUUCUGUGCCGCAGUUAACACAAUCAAGUACUCCGCCUGGGAAGUACGAUCGCAAGAUUAAAACUCAAAGGAAUUGACGGGGUC